AGGUAUUUAGUUUAAGUAAAAACAUUUGAUUUCGGCUCAAAAAAUUCUGGUUAAACUCCAUAAUUACCUA
rnacentral:tRNA from 1 species